rnacentral:ribozyme from 1 species
ACCUUUGGUCAAAAAAAGGCAAAACAGAGAAGAUUUAGAUUCGCUUCAUUUCCCUUCACCUUCGUCCGUCCCGCUUCUCUUCUUCUCUCGUUCCACGACGAAGAUCAA